AUUGAACGCUGGCGGCAUGCCUUACACAUGCAAGUCGAACGGCAGCACGGGGCAACCUGGUGGCGAGUGGCGAACGGGUGAGUAAUGCAUCGGAACGUACCUUUCAGUGGGGGAUAACGUAGCGAAAGUUACGCUAAUACCGCAUAUUCUGUGAGCAGGAAAGCAGGGGAUCGCAAGACCUUGCGCUGAUUGAGCGGCCGAUGUCAGAUUAGCUAGUUGGUGAGGUAAAGGCUCACCAAGGCGACGAUCUGUAGCGGGUCUGAGAGGAUGAUCCGCCACACCGGAACGGAGACGCGGUCCAGCCUCCGACGGGCGGCAGCAGUGGGGAAUUUUGGACAGUGGGGGCAACCCCGAUCCAGCCAUGCCGCGUGAGUGAAGAAGGCCUUCGGGUUGUAAAGCUCGUUCGGCCGAGAAGAAAUCGCGCGGGCUAAUACCCUGUGUGGAUGACGGUACCGGAAUAAGAAGCACCGGCUAACUACGUGCCAGCCGCCGCGGUAAAAC
rnacentral:rRNA from 1 species